CAGGCUUAACACAUGCAAGUCGAGGGGUAGCAUGGUCUUAGCUUGCUAAGGCCGAUGGCGACCGGCGCACGGGUGAGUAACACGUAUCCAACCUGCCGUCUACUCUUGGACAGCCUUCUGAAAGGAAGAUUAAUACAAGAUGGCAUCAUGAGUCCGCAUGUUCACAUGAUUAAAGGUAUUCCGGUAGACGAUGGGGAUGCGUUCCAUUAGAUAGUAGGCGGGGUAACGGCCCACCUAGUCUUCGAUGGAUAGGGGUUCUGAGAGGAAGGUCCCCCACAUUGGAACUGAGACACGGUCCAAACUCCUACGGGAGGCAGCAGUGAGGAAUAUUGGUCAAUGGGCGAGAGCCUGAACCAGCCAAGUAGCGUGAAGGAUGACUGCCCUAUGGGUUGUAAACUUCUUUUAUAAAGGAAUAAAGUCGGGUAUGGAUACCCGUUUGCAUGUACUUUAUGAAUAAGGAUCGGCUAACUCCGUGCCAGCAGCCGCGGUAAUACGGAGGAUCCGAGCGUUAUCCGGAUUUAUUGGGUUUAAAGGGAGCGUAGAUGGAUGUUUAAGUCAGUUGUGAAAGUUUGCGGCUCAACCGUAAAAUUGCAGUUGAUACUGGAUAUCUUGAGUGCAGUUGAGGCAGGCGGAAUUCGUGGUGUAGCGGUGAAAUGCUUAGAUAUCACGAAGAACUCCGAUUGCGAAGGCAGCCUGCUAAGCUGCAACUGACAUUGAGGCUCGAAAGUGUGGGUAUCAAACAGGAUUAGAUACCCUGGUAGUCCACACGGUAAACGAUGAAUACUCGCUGUUUGCGAUAUACGGCAAGCGGCCAAGCGAAAGCGUUAAGUAUUCCACCUGGGGAGUACGCCGGCAACGGUGAAACUCAAAGGAAUUGACGGGGGCCCGCACAAGCGGAGGAACAUGUGGUUUAAUUCGAUGAUACGCGAGGAACCUUACCCGGGCUUAAAUUGCAGAUGAAUUACGGUGAAAGCCGUAAGCCGCAAGGCAUCUGUGAAGGUGCUGCAUGGUUGUCGUCAGCUCGUGCCGUGAGGUGUCGGCUUAAGUGCCAUAACGAGCGCAACCCUUGUUGUCAGUUACUAACAGGUUCCGCUGAGGACUCUGACAAGACUGCCAUCGUAAGAUGUGAGGAAGGUGGGGAUGACGUCAAAUCAGCACGGCCCUUACGUCCGGGGCUACACACGUGUUACAAUGGGGGGUACAGAGGGCCGCUACCACGCGAGUGGAUGCCAAUCCCCAAAACCUCUCUCAGUUCGGACUGGAGUCUGCAACCCGACUCCACGAAGCUGGAUUCGCUAGUAAUCGCGCAUCAGCCACGGCGCGGUGAAUACGUUCCCGGGCCUUGUACACACCGCCCGUCAAGCCAUGGGAGCCGGGGGUACCUGAAGUGCGUAACCGCGAGGAGCGCCCUAGGGUAAAACCG
rnacentral:rRNA from 1 species